GUGCUUGCUUUGGCAGCACAUAUACUAAAAUUGGAAUGACACAGAGAAGAUCAGCACUGCCCCUGCUCAAGGAUGACAUGCAAAUUUGUGAAGAGUUCCACAUUUUU
ensembl:snRNA U6 U6 spliceosomal RNA